CUUAAUAUUAUUAAAUUUCUUACUUUAUUUUAUUAUUUUUCAUAUUCGUAGGUCAAUUUUAAUCUUGAGGACAUAUCCCCUAAGGCCAUGGCCUACUUAGAAGAGACCUUGGCAACUCGGUACAAACAUUAGAAGAACAAUCUUCACAUGCAUUUUAAGCUAUGGGAUGAUCCGGAGUUUGCUCGCCUACAUGGUUGCCCAACUGAGUUGUAGGAUCGACCGGAGGAUUGGGAGUGGCUCUACAAACAUUUUACGGACCCAAAAUUUGCGAAGAAAUCUAUAGCUGGCCAGAAAGCUCGGGAGUCAAAGACACUUCUCCACCAUUCCUGUUCGAAGCCCUUUUCAUAUAGGCUUAAGGCACGAUGUCAGGUAAAAGUAUAUUAAUUUUUACAAUUUGAAAAUUUAUACAAUUUAUUUAUAAUUAUUGAUUAAUAAAAUUUUCUUAAUGUUUUUUUCUUCAGGAGGGUUCUAAGUUCCCAGAGAUCGACAUGUUCAUGGAUGUUUACGUUUGACCUAGUGAUGAGACCGCUGAGCAGCUUCUUGUAAGGAUAUGUAAUUGUUAUUAUUCUUAUAUGUAUGAAUCGUUCAAAUAUUAUUUAUAUUCUGUUAUUAAACAUUAUAUGUUUUUUUUUCUUUAUUAUUACAGGCUGCUAUGGUGGAAUAGCGCACUGCUAUUCUCCAAGAAGCAACAUCGCAGCUUCCCCCGAAGACCCAAUCGAGGACGUCACAGUACCCAAGGAUGCAGGUUUUCAGCUGCUGACUAAUGUCAUGGGUAAGAACUUCGAUCGUCGUCAUGGCAAGGUUGUUCGGUGUAUGGGGAAAGCGCGAGUUCGUGAGAUUGGUGCCUCUUCUUCCAAAUCGAACACAGCAGAGGUCAGUGCAUUGAAGGAGGAAGUGACAACCCGAAAGGGUCAGCUUAUGGUCUAGGGCGAGUAGAUGAGGGCCUAGGAUGAGCAGAUGAGGGCCCAGGGCGAGCAGAUUAGAACCCAGGGCGAGGAGAUGAAGGCCUAUGUCAGGCACGUAAGAUACCUUGUACGAGCCAUACAGAUAUCCGACCUCCAAAUCUUACUACUAGUACUUGAUCUUGCUACACCUUCAACCUCCGAGCCACAUCGCCAUGCCAAUACCCAAUAGGCUGAUGUAUCAAACCUAGAAUACUACUUGUAGUUUUUUCUUUUUUUGUUCGGGCAUCUUGUAUGUACAUUUUCAUAUAUUUUAUAAUUAAAUACUUUACCUUGGUUAAUUAA